CCAAUGGUUAGAGCCUAGCUCUGGGCAGAAGAGUGGUGUAGCGAUUAAAGCAAAGGAUUGCAACUCCCAACUUCUACUUCCAGGUCCAUCUCCUUGCAGAUGGCAGCCAAUCCAUUCCCCACACGGGAGUAUUUCCCCAGCAGAUGAGGCUGUGCCAAGGAGCUACUUCCCAUCACAAACAUCAAUGGAAAUCAGUCAGCGUGAUUAGAAGAAAGACCUUGAAAAUGUGACCAGUGCCAUGGAUAGCCUCGGAGCCAGAGACACCUGCUGUAAGAAAGGGAAUUGCCCCCAGAU